rnacentral:rRNA from 1 species
AACGGGGGGGGCUAGCGUUAUUCAUCGUUAUUGGGCGUAAAGGGUAUGUAGGUGGAUCUUUCCUUUUUAGCAGAAAUGACAAAAAAUAAUCUUUGUCGCCGUUUUUAAAGAUGCGGAUCUGGAGAUAGAUGGGGUGAAUGGAAUUACUAAUGUAGGGGUAAAAUGUGUUGAUAUUAGUACGAACACCAACGGCGAAGGCAGUUUCUUCAUCGGUCUGACACUGAAAUACGAAAGACAUGGGGAAUCAAACAGGAGU